rnacentral:tRNA from 1 species
GGGCCUAUAGCAUAAUGGUAGUGCAUCCGGUUUGCAUCCGGAGGGUGGCAGUCCGAUUCUGCCUAGGUCCA